rnacentral:lncRNA from 1 species
AAUUUUUGCCUAUAGCCUAUGCUUAAAUUUUAUACAUUUGGAAUUUGCUGCAAAUAGGCAUGUAUGGCAAGAGCCAGCAAGCAAAUGGAUAACGUUGGUCAUAUUUCCAUGAUAGAGAAAGACACUUUCAUCGUUAAACCCGAAAGCCGAAAAGCUCUCCACCAUCCCAGAACACUUUCUCCCUUGUCAUUCAUUCAUUCAUAAAUGUGAUCCCAAGAAAAAAAACUACAGAGUUUUGAAAAGACAAAAGGUAGGAAUUAAUGUCACUGAAAAUGGCGUUUUGUCCCCAUCUCUCUUUCUCUCUCCCUUUCUCAUUUGCCCAAGCUUGCUUUCCUUCUAGAGCCUUGAGGCAUUAGCAGAGAUAAAAAAGAUUGAGCACUUACAAGUUGCAACUAUUGCUGAUAAGCAUGUGAAUUUCUCUCCUGGCUUUGGGAGCAAUCAGAUGAAUCCUGUUCAAGUUUAGAGCAGCCACCGACCCAUUAUUAAUAAGUGGCCAACAGCCAAACCUGAUGACCUGUGACAAUGAAAUAUGCAUAAUAAUGGAGAGUUAACAUAUGGGAUUAGAAGGCUGCAUAAUUAAGGGAAUUACUACAACCAGACAAAUAAGUCAUGGACUCUAUGUCCAAUGCCUAAGCUAUCAACUCUGCAUAUAAAAUGAUAUAAAUUUGGUCACUUCAGAUAAAAAGAGAAUGUUUAAAAGCCGCAAUGCACCAACUCCUACAGCUUGAUUUUGACUGAAAGGAUAAAAUAUUUUUAAACAAUCUAUCAUGAUUUCUUCAUGCAACUACCAACAUCUCCAUUUGCUGAACUGCCUUUAUUCAUGAAAGUCUGAUAAACCUCUACAAAGCAAUCAAUGAAAUAACAUUAACAAAAGAACCCACCAAGAAGAUCAACAUUGACAAAGAAAUAUUUUUGGUCUUUUUGCUAUUGGGGAAGGUUGCAGUUUCAUUCACUACAUUAUCACAGGCAUAGAAUGUAGAUUCUGCAGCACCAGCACCAGCACCAGUACAACAAAAGUUAAAAAGGCAAAGUCAGCUUGUAAACCUAUUUCCAAUAAAGCUUGAUGCAUGUUUAGUUGUUCGCAUUCCAAGUUGAACAACCCUUCUCUAUUAUUUCUCACAUCAUUCUCUUUUAGACUUGAAAACUUUAUCAUAAUUGCCAAAUAACAGGUGAAUGGUUGUUCUACUAGCAUAGCAAUGAUAUCGUUAACAGAAAAUACAACUUAUGAAAAUGAUUAUCUAAAGCAAUUAGAUCUCAUUUUUGGAACCCAACUUAUGAAAAUGAUGACUAGGCCUAUGUUAAUGAAUAAGAUCCCUUCUGAAGGAAUGAAUUAGGAAAACUUACCCAAUUUGAGAAUGACAAUUGUAGCCCAUAAGGGAGACCCAAAAGAAACCUACUUUUAGGAAAAGUGAGAAAUGUCUCUUGGCUACAACUAAAAGGUAUAUGACACAUGUCAGCGAUGAUUAUAAAGAGCAAAUCACAACACUAGUUCCUAAACAAACCAGCCUCAGUACAAGCAAAAUCGCUUGACACAGAUAAGUGAAAAAAGCAUAAGACAAUGAUAGGGAUGGGUUCUUCAUGUGGAGCGUGCAAGUUCCUAAGAAGAAAGUGCAUGAAUGAUUGUGUCUUUGCACCUUACUUCUGUUAUGACGAGGCUGCAACACACUUUGCAGCAGUGCACAAGGUGUUUGGCGCAAGCAAUGUUUCAAAGCUAUUAUUACACC